rnacentral:rRNA from 1 species
UACGGGGGGGGCAAGCGUUGUUCGGAAUUACUGGGCGUAAAGGGCUCGUAGGUGGCCAACUAAGUCAGACGUGAAAGCCCUCGGCUUAACCGGGGAACUGCGUCUGAUACUGGAUGGCUUGAGUUCGGGAGAGGGAUGCGGAAUUCCAGGUGUAGCGGUGAAAUGCGUAGAUAUCUGGAGGAACACCGGUGGCGAAGGCGACAUCCUGGACCGACACUGACACUGAGGAGCGAAAGCCAGGGGAGCAAACGGG